GACGAACGCUGGCGGCGUGCUUAACACAUGCAAGUCGAACGGAAAGGCCCUGCUUUUGUGGGGUGCUCGAGUGGCGAACGGGUGAGUAACACGUGAGUAACCUGCCCUUGACUUUGGGAUAACUUCAGGAAACUGGGGCUAAUACCGGAUAGGAGCUCCUGCUGCAUGGUGGGGGUUGGAAAGUUUCGGCGGUUGGGGAUGGACUCGCGGCUUAUCAGCUUGUUGGUGGGGUAGUGGCUUACCAAGGCUUUGACGGGUAGCCGGCCUGAGAGGGUGACCGGCCACAUUGGGACUGAGAUACGGCCCAGACUCCUACGGGAGGCAGCAGUGGGGAAUAUUGCACAAUGGGCGGAAGCCUGAUGCAGCAACGCCGCGUGCGGGAUGACGGCCUUCGGGGUGUAAACCGCUUUCGCCUGUGACGAAGCGUGAGUGACGGGAAUGGGUAAAGAAGCACCGGCUAACUACG
rnacentral:rRNA from 1 species